CGGGAAUUGGUGUAGCGGUAACACGCCUGGUUCGGGACCAGGAGAGGGUGGGUUCAAUUCCCACAUUCCCGA
rnacentral:tRNA from 1 species